rnacentral:rRNA from 1 species
CCCUUAGAUGUUCUGGGCCGCACGCGCGCUACACUGACGAAUGCAACGAGCUUAUAACCUUGGCCGAAAGGUCUGGGUAAUCUCCAAAUUUCGUCGUGAUGGGGAUAGAUUAUUGCAAUUAUUAAUCUUCAACGAGGAAUGCCUAGUAAGCGCAAGCCAUCAGCUUGCGUUGAUUACGUCCCUGCCCUUUGUACACACCGCCCGUCGCACCUACCGAUUGAAUGGUCCGGUGAAAUCUCGGGACGGCGGCUUGGUCGCUUGCGUCCGACUGCUGAAACUUGAUUAAACCAUAUCAUUUAGAGGAAGGUGAAGUCGUAACA